AGGAUUCCUGGAGAGCUUCCCUGUUGAAAAGUUCUGCAGAUUCUGUUUGUCAAGCAGUAGUGACGCUCAGCAACAAAAGGUUUAUUGAGUUCAACAGAGUGAUGGGGAAAAAUCUCAGAGAGAACUUCUUUGAUGCACUUGACUGUUUCUCUCCCAGCAUGAUGGAGCUCUAAUGGAAGAAGAAAGGCCAUCAGACAAAGAUAGGUUGACUUGUCUACAUCAGUCUAUGCCUUCGCUUCCUUUUCACCAUUCCUCUCCAUUCCCUUUGCUUUUCCUCUCCUUGCUUCUCAUCACUUAUUUUUAUUAUUUGCUUGCUUCUACCGUUUCCUUUUUUAUCCAUUUUUCUCUUUUCUCUUGUCCUCUCCAUUCUGAAAUCUCUUCCUCUCAUGUUCUGUCUAUUUUUCUACUUUUCUCCUGUCCUCUCCACUAUUCUCCCCACCCCUUUCUAUUGUUUCAUCUCUUUUUCUUCACCCUUCCAUCCUUUCCCUUUUCUCUCCUCUCUCUUUUCCUUUUUGUGUCAUCACCUCUUGUCCUGUUCUUUACUUUCCAAAAUCUGGAAAUUGCUGUGAAGUCAUAAAGAAUUGGGGGGGUGUCAGGAAUUUGAUUAAUACAUGUGAGUAUCCCCACCAAACUGUGUUGUACAAUAUCUGCACUAUCUUCCAGACCACUGAGCCAACAGACAUUAGGUGCCUUUGUCUUCGUAGACUGCCGGUCAUUUUGGGAGAUGAUCCUUCUGCCUUCUUCAAGACCUGCUGCGAUGUAACUGACAAGGACUCAUGCAGUCAAACUCCAGUGGGAAUCCUCUGCUUCGAAUCAGACUUCAGUUCGCAUCAGCCACUGCACUGUACUACAUGUCACAUGACAACCUGCACCUGAAUCACGUUUCUGUUAAUGAGCACACUUAUAUAGCAUAUAUAGCCAUUGUUUGCACUGCUUCUCUGUCUUACUUUUAUCUUAGACCACCGUGUUCCAUGUUACCAUAUUUAUUGAUCUUGUUAGUUUGUUUAUUUUUUUGCCACAGUAUUAUGCCAAGUUGUCUUAGUGUCUUUGUUUUGUUGUUUGUUUAAUAAAACGUUGUAUAUCGGC